rnacentral:rRNA from 1 species
UUAGUUACCAGCACGUUAUGGUGGGCACUCUAAGGAGACUGCCGGUGACAAACCGGAGGAAGUGGGGAUGACGUCAAGUCAUCAUGGCCCUUACGGGCUGGGCUACACACGUGCUACAAUGGUGGUGACAGUGGGCAGCGAGCACGCGAGUGUGAGCUAAAUCUCCAAAAGCCAUCUCAGUUCGGAUUGCACUCUGCAACUCGAGUGCAUGAAGUUGGAAUCGCUAGUAAUCGCGGAUCAGAACGCCGCGGUGAAUACGUUCUCGGGGUUU